GAUGAAGAACGCAGCGAAAUGCGAUAAGUAAUGUGAAUUGCAGAAUUCAGUGAAUCAUCGAAUCUUUGAACGCACAUUGCGCCCCCUGGUAUUCCGGGGGGCAUGCCUGUUCGAGCGUCACUUCACCACUCAAGCCUCGCUUGGUAUUGGGCAACGCGGUCCGCCGCGUGCCUCAAAUCGACCGGCUGGGUCUUCUGUCCCCUAAGCGUUGUGGAAACUAUUCGCUAAAGGGUGUUCGGGAGGCUACGCCGUAAAACAACCCCAUUUCUAAGGUUGACCUCGGAUCAGGUAGGGAUACCCGCUGAACUUAAGCAUAUCAAUAAGCGGAGGA
rnacentral:misc_RNA from 1 species